rnacentral:rRNA from 1 species
UACGUAGGGGGCUAGCGUUGUCCGGAAUCAUUGGGCGUAAAGCGCGUGUAGGCGGCCCGGUAAGUCCGCUGUGAAAGUCCAGGGCUCAACCCUGGGAUGCCGGUGGAUACUGUCGGGCUCGAGUCCGGAAGAGGCGAGUGGAAUUCCUGGUGUAGCGGUGAAAUGCGCAGAUAUCGGAAGGAACAUCAGUGGCGAAAGCGGCUUCCUGGACCAGCACCGACGUUCAGGCACGAAAGCGUGGGGAGCAAACAGG